UGGGGAAUAUUGGACAAUGGGCGCAAGCCUGAUCCAGCAAUGCCGCGUGUGUGAAGAAGGCCUUCGGGUUGUAAAGCACUUUUAUCAGGAGCGAAACGCUGUCGGCUAAUACCCGGCGGAACUGACGGUACCUGAGGAAUAAGCACCGGCUAACUUCGUGCCAGCAGCCGCGGUAAUACGAAGGGUGCAAGCGUUAAUCGGAAUUACUGGGCGUAAAGCGUGCGUAGGCGGUUUCUUAAGUCUGCUGUGAAAUCCCCGGGCUCAACCUGGGAAUGGCAGUGGAUACUGGGAGGCUAGAGUGUGUCAGAGGGUGGUGGAAUUCCCGGUGUAGCGGUGAAAUGCGUAGAGAUCGGGAGGAACAUCAGUGGCGAAGGCGGCCACCUGGGACAACACUGACGCUGAGGCACGAAAGCGUGGGGAGCAAACAGGAUUAGAUACCCUGGUAGUCCACGCCCUAAACGAUGCGAACUGGAUGUUGGUCUCAACUCGGAGAUCAGUGUCGAAGCUAACGCGUUAAGUUCGCCGCCUGGGGGAGUACGGUCGCAAGACUGAAACUCAAAUGAAUU
rnacentral:rRNA from 1 species